AUUGAACGCUGGCGGCAGGCCUAACACAUGCAAGUCGAGCGGAUGAAGGGAGCUUGCUCCUGGAUUCAGCGGCGGACGGGUGAGUAAUGCCUAGGAAUCUGCCUGGUAGUGGGGGAUAACGUCCGGAAACGGGCGCUAAUACCGCAUACGUCCUGAGGGAGAAAGUGGGGGAUCUUCGGACCUCACGCUAUCAGAUGAGCCUAGGUCGGAUUAGCUAGUUGGUGGGGUAAAGGCCUACCAAGGCGACGAUCCGUAACUGGUCUGAGAGGAUGAUCAGUCACACUGGAACUGAGACACGGUCCAGACUCCUACGGGAGGCAGCAGUGGGGAAUAUUGGACAAUGGGCGAAAGCCUGAUCCAGCCAUGCCGCGUGUGUGAAGAAGGUCUUCGGAUUGUAAAGCACUUUAAGUUGGGAGGAAGGGCAGUAAGUUAAUACCUUGCUAUUUUGAUGUUACCAACAGAAUAAGCACCGGCUAACUUCGUG
rnacentral:rRNA from 1 species